AAACCGAGAGAGGAAUAAAAAUUUAAUUGAUAGGAACCGAAUAGAAGCCAGCAACCAUCUACUUGUCUAAGCGGUGAAGUGUAGAAAUUAACUGAGACUGGGGCGGUGAGUUGAGACAGCUGCCAGGAAGGAAUGCAUCACCAAAUUUGCUGAAUAAGUAGUGACCGAAAGAGAGACAAUAAAGAGAAAUUAUCUGCUGAGUCCAAGCGGUGGAAGGGAGAAAACCAGUAGGAAUUGGCUUCUAGAUUGUGCGGUACCUGUUAAGACAGCUGCCCAUUUAUUUGCUACGUGAGGUGAUGACCGAAUGAGAGGAGCUAAGAAAUUCAUUUGUGCACUAGUUGGGCGGUGACCGAGAGGGUUCCAUUCACUUCCCCUGUUGCCUAAAAUCGAGAAACAACAAGAAGGAAAAACGGAGACCUCUCUUACCUUCUCCAACCAUGAACACCAGCCAAGAAACAAGAGAAACUCCAGCUCAUUUAACCAAGGAAUCGAGAGAGGGAAACAAAAGAAAACCAGAAAUCUUGUUCCAGUCUAAACCGUGAAGAGACAAUAGAGUUGAACUCCACACAAGGAGUAAUACCUGACCGUGAUCCGUAAAGGCACUACAUCUUUGGUGAGUACUUCCAAAUACCUGAUUGAACUGGAUACUUGUUUUUAAUACUUGACCAAUGUGAUCGAAUGAUAUGUGAUUGGUAUGAUCGGGCAAGGGUGUACUUUAUCGCACUUGCCCUAACGUGAUAUGUACUUGUUUAUUGUUGCAAUUGAUUUGAGAUAUUUGUGUGUGACUUGUAAGUACUGAGCGGCAGUAUGUACCACACUCGAUCCGAGUGGGAGGUACCUCUCAUUCCCGUCUCCAUACUUUUAUCUUGAUUCAAUCGAUUGGAGUGUUAUCUCAUCGAUUUUUUGGGGAUCCAAACCCCAUUGGCUAGUUAAUCGAGUCGAGCCGGCAAGGGUUUGGUCGAUUAGAUAACGAACCAUGGGUAUCUAGUGUUGUCGAGUGGAGUGUUAUCUCCUCGACUAAUCGGUAUACUCGAGUAUUACCACCAGUGUUUAUUGUGGAGUUCGAGCCCAGUAAGAGGUUUGAUCGGUGGACGGAGAUUGGAGUGAAGUGGUGACCUACUGGACUAGUUUCUCACUUGAAAGUUGACGGAGUGCCAACUACCAAUUGAUCAAGCUAUGGUGGAGUCGAUAUAUGAGCAACUGUAUUCUUAUAUGUGAAAUGCGGAAAAAUUACGUGUCUAGCUAUAUGAAGUGUUAUUACUCAUUUCUUGACUUGUUUUGCUCGCUAUUUCACCAUUAUGCCACUGUUACUUUAUUUGCUGGACAAUUUGAUAUUUGGAACCUCCUUUAGUUUUGUUUUCCUUACAGGGGUACGAGCGAGGCGUGAGACGUGUACAGACUAGUUUAGACUAAUUGUUUUGACUUUCGAGUUGUACUCACGCUAUCAUUCGCUUAGAAUGCGUUGUACUUGUAUUGUAUACACUUUUAAGUAUUUUGGAUGUAUAGAUGUCUUGUAUCUGGGUUUGUGCAUCGAUGUAUAUUACAAGUUUGAAUUGCAAUGUUA